rnacentral:rRNA from 1 species
GACGAACGCUGGCGGCGUGCUUAACACAUGCAAGUCGAACGGAAAGGCCCUGCUUUUGUGGGGUGCUCGAGUGGCGAACGGGUGAGUAACACGUGAGUAACCUGCCCUUGACUUUGGGAUAACUUCAGGAAACUGGGGCUAAUACCGGAUAGGAGCUCCUGCUGCAUGGUGGGGGUUGGAAAGUUUCGGCGGUUGGGGAUGGACUCGCGGCUUAUCAGCUUGUUGGUGGGGUAGUGGCUUACCAAGGCUUUGACGGGUAGCCGGCCUGAGAGGGUGACCGGCGACAUGGGGACUGAGAUACGGCGCAGACUCCUACGGGAGGCAGCAGUGGGGAAUAUUGCACAAUGGGCGGAAGCCUGAUGCAGAAACGCCGCGUGCGGGAUGACGGCCUUCGGGUUGUAAACCGCUUUCGCCUGUGACGAAGCGUGAGUGACGGUAAUGGGUAAAGAAGCACCGGCUAACUACGUG